UAGCAAUCACGUGAUAGAAAGAAUUCGCAUAUUUGCACGUGCUGUUUUUCCGGAAUUCCGCAACGCCGUCAAAUAAAAGUCUCCAUUUACACAUUGUCGUCCAUGCUACAAGAUGGCCGACGAAGCAAUCGAGAAAUUUCCUCGAUUUAAAAGACAAAUUUGACAUACAUAUUAAACCUUUACGGUUCUCGAAAUUGAAGCAUCUUCAUGAGAAUCAAAAUAGAAGUGAGACUGAAACCGACAAUGAACAUAAUUUUGGUGAAACUACUUCUUGUCCAGUGUCCACUGCAGCACCACGUGGGUACACCGGUAUCGAUCUGUGCCUGAUGUUGAUUUCAAUAUAGACAUUAAAGACCAUGAGCCUACAGAUGUCAAUUGGUAUGAUGGAAAAAGUAAAAUUUUUGCAGAACAGAUUUUUUGUUUGCUGUGUCCAUGUCAGAUACAUAAGGUGAAGCAAGCUAUGGACUAGACAGUGUAUUCAGCUUUCUCUGCUGAAAUAAUGUGACCAAAUCAAGUGUCACCUGGAAAGAGGAAUGUCAAGGGUGCUUAACAUUAACUCCAAGAUAGCCAUUGGAAAGUUCAAGCCAAAUCUGCUACAGCAAACACAAACAUAAAGUGGCAUACUUGUGUGACAGGAAACGAGGAAUAUUUAUGUCUGGACUGAGAAUCUAACGGAAGAUCCCUGAAUCACUAGUUAGGUGCUCUAUUGACUUAAAUACAUGUAUGGUUAAAUGCUUGUGCAUAAACAUAUAAAAAGACAUAUUGUAAAUUGAA